rnacentral:misc_RNA from 1 species
UCUCCGUAGGUGAACCUGCGGAGGGAUCAUUACCAGAGAUGGCGGGCCCCCGCGCCCCCGUCCCCAACCCUUUGUUGACCAAACCACUUUUGCCUCGGGGGCAGAGCGGCCUCCGCCGCCCCCGGUGGACCACCCAACCCUGCAUCGUUGCGUCUGAGUCGAAAUAUAAAUCAAUCAAAACUUUCAACAACGGAUCUCUUGGUUCUGGCAUCGAUGAAGAACGCAGC